rnacentral:piRNA from 1 species
UGGAAGCUGAUAGGUCUUGUGUUUGAGA